UCGUAUGAUGAAUGGCACUGGGCUCCGAAAUUUCUUGACGGAUAUGCCUUUUUGUGGCAGGCCUAGAAAACCUCGCCCACUGAUU
rnacentral:snoRNA from 1 species